GACGAACGCUGGCGGCGUGCUUAACACAUGCAAGUCGAGCGGUAAGGCUCCUUCGGGAGUCCACGAGCGGCGCACGGGUGAGUAACACGUGAGUAAUCUGCCCUUCACUUCGGGAUAACCACCGGAAACGGUGGCUAAUACCGAAUACGACCAGUCUUCGCAUGAGGUGCUGGUGGAAAGUCUUUUCGGUGAAGGAUGUGCUCGCGGCCUAUCAGCUUGUUGGUGGGGUAAUGGCCUACCAAGGCUUCGACGGGUAGCCGGCCUGAGAGGGUGACCGGCCACACUGGGACUGAGACGCGGCCCAGACUCCUACGGGAGGCAGCAGUGGGGAAUAUUGGACAAUGGGCGAAAGCCUGAUCCAGCAACGCCGCGUGAGGGAUGACGGCCUUCGGGUUGUAAACCUCUUUCAGUACCGACGAAGCGCCCUGUCGGGUGGUGACGGUAGGUACAGAAGAAGGACCGGCCAACUACGUG
rnacentral:rRNA from 1 species